rnacentral:rRNA from 1 species
CUCUUAACUGGGAGGGAAGUGGGGAUGACGUCAAAUCAUCAUGCCCCUUAUGACCUGGGCUACACACGUGCUACAAUGGACGGUACAAAGAGCUGCAAGACCGCGAGGUGGAGCUAAUCUCAUAAAACCGUUUUCAGUUCGGAUUGUAGGCUGCAACUUGCCUACAUGAAGCUGGAAUCGCUAGUAAUCGCGGAUCAGCAUGCCGCGGUGAAUACGUUCCCGGGCCUUGUACACACCGCCCGUCACACCACGAGAGUUUGUAACACCCGAAGUCGGUGGGGUAACCUUUUUGGAGCCAGC